rnacentral:rRNA from 1 species
UACGAGUGCCUCGAGCGUUAUCCGGAAUCAUUGGGCGUAAAGGGUGCGUAGGCGGCUAUGUUAGUCUCGUGUAAAAUCUUUCGGCUCAACCGAGAGUCUGCAUGGGAAACGGCAUAGCUUGAGGACGGGAGAGGUCUCUGGAACUCAUGGUGUAGCGGUGAAAUGCGUUGAUAUCAUGGGGAACACCAAAAGCGAAGGCAAGAGACUGGCCCGCUCCUGACGCUGAAGCACGAAAGCGUGGGUCGCGAAUGGG